ACUUUUGACGGUGGAUCUCUUGGCUCACGCAUCGAUGAAGAACGCAGCCAGCUGCGAUAAGUAGUGUGAAUUGCAGAAUUCAGUGAAUCAUCGAAUCUUUGAACGCAAAUGGCGCUCUUGGGUUCUCCCUGGAGCAUGUCUGUCUGAGUGUCGGAUAU
rnacentral:rRNA from 1 species